GUUCCCUUCGGGGACGCUAANGACAGGUGGUGCAUGGUUGUCGUCAGCUCGUGUCGUGAGAUGUUGGGUUAAGUCCCGCAACGAGCGCAACCCUUGUUAUUAGUUGCCAGCAUUAAGUUGGGCACUNUAAUGAGACUGCCGGUGACAAACCGGAGGAAGGUGGGGAUGACGUCAAAUCAUCAUGCCCCUUAUGACCUGGGCUACACACGUGCUACAAUGGGCA
rnacentral:rRNA from 1 species